GACCACAAUUUAACGGCCGCGGUACCCUAACCGUGCGAAGGUAGCAUAAUCACUUGUUUCCUAAAUAGAGACUAGUAUCAACGGCAUCACGAAGACUACACUGUCUCCCCCCUAAAAUCAAUGAAACUAAUCUCCUCGUGAAGAAGCGAGGAUGAACAUAUAAGACGAGAAGACCCCAUGGAGCUUUAAACAAACUUCAAUUGCUUUCCCCCCCCCCCC
rnacentral:rRNA from 1 species